rnacentral:rRNA from 1 species
UACGUAGGGCGCAAGCGUUGUCCGGAAUUAUUGGGCGUAAAGAGCUCGUAGGUGGCGUGUGGCGUCUGCCGUGAAAGCCCAUGGCUUAACUGUGGGUCUGCGGUGGAUACGGGCAGGCUAGAGGCUGGUAGGGGCAAGCGGAAUUCCUGGUGUAGCGGUGAAAUGCGCAGAUAUCAGGAGGAACACCGGUGGCGAAGGCGGGUCUCUGGGCCGUAACUGACGCUGAGGAGCGAAAGCGUGGGGAGCGAACAGG